CCCUUAGAUGUUCUGGGCCGCACGCGCGCUACACUGAUGAACGCAACGAGACCACCUGUACCGAAAGGCAUGGGUAAACUUGUGAAAGUUCAUCGUGAUGGGGAUAGAUUAUUGCAAUUAUUAAUCUUCAACGAGGAAUUCCUAGUAAGCGCGAGUCAUCAGCUCGCGUUGAUUACGUCCCUGCCCUUUGUACACACCGCCCGUCGCUCCUACCGAUUGAAUGGUCCGGUGAAAUCUUCGGAUUGUUGGAUAGGACUUCAUUGACCUAUCUGCGAGAAGUUGCUUGAACCUUAUCAUUUAGAGGAAGGAGAAGUCGUAACA
rnacentral:rRNA from 1 species